AUACGGGGGGUGCAAGCGUUAUUCGGAUUUAUUGGGCAUAAAGAGCGCGUAGGCGGCUUGGUAAGUCAGAUGUGAAAGCCCGGGGCUCAACCCCGGAAGUGCAUUUGAAACUAUCAGGCUUGAGUAUGGGAGAGGGAAGUGGAAUUCCUGGUGUAGAGGUGAAAUUCGUAGAUAUCAGGAGGAACACCGGUGGCGAAGGCGACUUCCUGGACCAAUACUGACGCUGAGGCGCGAAGGCGUGGGGAGCAAACAGGAUUAGAAACCCUAGUAGUCC
rnacentral:rRNA from 1 species